rnacentral:lncRNA from 1 species
AAAUAAAGCAUGAUCUUCAUCCCUAACAUUGUAUCAUGCCACUUGCGAUGCGAGAUGCGCGCUGCGUAGCGUGUAUACAUGCGCCCUUUGCAUUGCAGUUGCAUA